rnacentral:rRNA from 1 species
CGGACGGGUGAGUAACGCGUGGAAAACCUGCCGUAUACUGGGGGAUAACACUUAGAAAUAGGUGCUAAUACCGCAUAAGCGCACAGCUUCGCAUGAAGCGGUGUGAAAAACUCUGGUGGUAUACGAUGGUUCCGCGUCUGAUUAGCUAGUUGGUGGGGUAAUGGCCUACCAAGGCAACGAUCNGUAGCCGGCCUGAGAGGGUGAACGGCCACAUUGGGACUGAGACACGGCCCAAACUCCUACGGAAGGCAGCAG